rnacentral:rRNA from 1 species
AACGAACGCUGGCGGCAUGCCUAACACAUGCAAGUCGAACGAGACCUUCGGGUCUAGUGGCGCACGGGUGCGUAACGCGUGGGAAUCUGCCCUUGGGUUCGGAAUAACAGCGAGAAAUUGCUGCUAAUACCGGAUGAUGACGUAAGUCCAAAGAUUUAUCGCCCAAGGAUGAGCCCGCGUAGGAUUAGCUAGUUGGUGAGGUAAAGGCUCACCAAGGCGACGAUCCUUAGCUGGUCUGAGAGGAUGAUCAGCCACACUGGGACUGAGACACGGCCCAGACUCCUACGGGAGGCAGCAGUGGGGAAUAUUGGACAAUGGGCGAAAGCCUGAUCCAGCAGUGCCGCGUGAGUGAUGAAGGCCUUAGGGUUGUAAAGCUCUUUUACCCGGGAUGAUAAUGACAGUACCGGGAGAAUAAGCUCCGGCUAACUCCGUGCCAGCAGCCGCGGUAA